rnacentral:rRNA from 1 species
GAUGAACGCUGGCGGCGUGCCUAAUACAUGCAAGUCGAGCGAAUGGAUUAAGAGCUUGCUCUUAUGAAGUUAGCGGCGGACGGGUGAGUAACACGUGGGUAACCUGCCCAUAAGACUGGGAUAACUCCGGGAAACCGGGGCUAAUACCGGAUAAUAUUUUGAACUGCAUGGUUCAAAAUUGAAAGGCGGCUUCGGCUGUCACUUAUGGAUGGACCCGCGUCGCAUUAGCUAGUUGGUGAGGUAACGGCUCGCCAAGGCAACGAUGCGUAGCCGACAUGAGAGGGUGAUCGGCGACACUGGGACUGAGACACGGCCCAGACUCCUACGGGAGGCAGCAGUAGGGAAUCUUCCGCAAUGGACGAAAGUCUGACGGAGCAACGCCGCGUGAGUGAUGAAGGCUUUCGGGUCGUAAAACUCUGUUGUUAGGGAAGAACAAGUGCUAGUUGAAUAAGCUGGCACCUUGACGGUACCUAACCAGAAAGCCACGGCUAACUACGUGCCAGCCGCCGCCGUAA